UCAGGCCUAACACAUGCAAGUCGUACGAGGGUUUUUAACUCUAGUGGCGGACGGGUGAGUAACACGUGAGAAUUUGCCUUUAGGAGGGGGACAACAAUUGGAAACGAAUGCUAAUACCCCAUAUGCUUUCGAGUGAAAUGGAUUUUAUCCGCCUAGAGAGAAGCUCGCGGCUGAUUAGCUUGUUGGUAAGGUAAGAGCUUACCAAGGCGACGAUCAGUAUCUGGUUUGAGAGGACGAUCAGACACACUGGAACUGAGACACGGUCCAGACUCCUACGGGAGGCAGCAGUGGGGAAUUUUCCGCAAAGGGCGAAAGCCUGACGGAGCAAUACCGCGUGA
rnacentral:rRNA from 1 species